rnacentral:lncRNA from 10 species
CUACAAUCAUUUCAGUUUUUAUUAACUCAUUUACUUCUGAUACUAAUUAAAAAUCUCUCAUAUAAGUCCAUUUAUAAGUCCAAAUAGAAUAAACAAAUGUUAAGUAUCAAUAAUAUUUAAAUUUUUUUUUUAUUCCAGACUCUGUUGGGUACAAGUGACACAGAAAGUCAUCUCAAACUAGCUGAAACACAAAAGGUAAUUUAUUUGUUUCAAUACCUGGAAAUUCCAAGAGUUUUUUUUAGCUCUAGUUAUAGCUGGAUCAAGAUGAGUGUCAAAUGAUAUAAUGAUAUUGUCAGUGUUUGAGUGUCUUAUCUAUCAUGUGUCUAUCCAUACAUAUCUAUACCUACAUAUAUACAUAUAUCACACACGUUUUAUAAAAAAUUUAUCAUGUCGACAAUAAUAUUUAAACAAAUACCCAAAUAAAUAUUAAUCAUUGAGUUUUCUCAGAAGGCUAAAUCACUUACAAACAAAAUGGAACAUUUUUAUAUUUUUAUAAUUUCCUUCUGGUACUGUGGAUCACAGCCACAGAAGGAAAUCAGUCUAGUAAUAUUAUAGAUAGGACAUUCACUGGUCCCAAUCUGAUUUACAUUUUCUUAUGGACAUUUGUGAAUUUUUAGCUCUGCUUAGCAUCUAAAAUCCAGUGUAUGUUUGGAAUCUUUUUCAACAUUAUUAGCCAUAGUGUGGAGGAGAGACUGCCUCACCCAAUGGGAGAUGAAAAUGCCAAACUCUUGCUUGCCUAGACUCCCUUGGAGCUAGGACAUGACCAAGUGAGGUACAUUCCACUAAUCAGAUUCAGCCAUGGAAGCAGGAACCAGUAACUCAAAGAAGCAGGGACUGAGAGCCUCCAUUCAGACUGAAUUCCUAGUGCAGCUGUGGCAGCAGAGCUAGAGGCAGUGUCACAGUGCAGUAGUGGAGGGGUUGGUGGUGCAGGCUGUAGAGUCUUUUGCUUGUUAGUGUUGGUAGGGAUGUCAACAUUAGGUGAGCUGUGUCAUGUCUUGGUGAGCCUGUGUUUCAUAGAACCUGGCUCUUCAUACAUGCUGGCAAUGUAAUCCACCCAAUAUCAUUAUCACAAACACCUUUCCCAUUGAAAUUAACCUGAGUUGGUUUCUGUUGCUUGCAGCUGAUGAAUGGAUGACCUUCUCUUCCUCUAUGUCAUCUCCUUUAGUUAUGUAUUUAUUAACUUAAAUCUCAUAUUACUCUCUUUGGCCUCUGCUACCUGAAUCUUCUGGUAUCAGCUGAAGAGGGAGUCUGGGAGGCACAGAACUGGAAGUAAGGCCAUACUGGGCCUGGGAGGCAGAGAGAGUCCUACUGGAGGGCCCUCAGAAAGUGAAUUCAGCAGGCACCAGCCUCCAGCCACAGGGUCCUAUGCCCACACUUGCUUCCACAAGCCUGGUCCAGGCCACCAUCAUGUCGCCUGGACCAUGGCCGUAUUUCCUAGGGUCUGCCUACUCCUGUCCUUGUCCCUGUAAACACUUUAUCAAACACAGGGAUAUUGUUAAAACAUAAUCAGAUCAUGUCAAUUCUCUGUGAAAACCUCAUUCUCUCAGAGUAAAAGUCCUUAUAGAAGCCUAAAGGCCAUACAUGGUACCCGCUUCCUCCGAAAAAUCGCAUUCUCUUUAUUACGCCUUCGAUCCCUAGGAGAACCUAAGUUCAAGAGGAGAUGCUGGGCAGGGAGGGGCCAGCCACUUGCUAGGGUGCCCCAGCCCCUGUCUGCUUCAAGAGCCAAGUCAUUUUCUCCUGGACCCCUCUGAGCUGAAGACAGGAAGAGCCGGGGGAGGGGGAUCUCUUGGUCUGCGCCUCAGUUUCUCAAGAACAGCAACAGCAGAAAAAUAAAUUGAGAGAUGAAGGGGCUACCACCAUCCAAGUGGCCACAACCAUCCACUCCCAUGCCGGCCUGGAGUUAGCAGACGGGCGCCACUUUGCUCUGCUUGUCCCACGCCCAUGGAGGGGGGACACCGUCCGGAAGUGAAGGCCAGGAAAACAGAGGGGAGAGACAGCGGGGUGGGGUGGGAGCAGUCGCUGCUGUGAACUCGCUGGAGCCCAGACUCACGCAACUAAGGGGCAGCAGUGGGAAGAGAAACGGAGGGGUGGUGGGGGAGCUGGCGCUCUGAACGCCUGUUCCUUCUGUUCAGACUAGUCUUUGUUUAUUUUGCAGCGCAGGAAGGCGGAAGGGAAGGCGGAGACCGGCAAGAGAGGGGAGAAGGCCCGGGGAAGACGCUCGGGACCAAGAUGCGGGGCCCGGGUGCGAGCAGCUGAACCUCUCGGCCCCCAGGCGUGGUGACCUGGGUGGCGACGCUCGUGGAGGCCGAGGAGCUUCUGGACCGGCGCUUCGGGGGACCAAGUGGAGAGGCUGCUGGAGUUGUCGCCUGAGUCCUCCCUUAGUUCUUCGCGCCGGCCUCGCCCACGGCUCCGGGUCCCAGCCGCCACUGCAGUCUCCGCAGCACCGAGCGGGGCUCCACCGACUCGCGACCUCCAGCCUCCGCCUCAAGGGCAGGGAGCGCGGCUGGGUCUCUGGAAAGCCAUUUUUAAAUCACUGCCUCUGCUGCCCCCAUGUGAGGUCGGAGUGUCCUCCCCCGUCUUUGCUUUCAGGUUCUUUCAGGUUCCUUUGGGCAAACCCGCAGCUAAGAGUCCAGCUUGUGAACUUGAACCUGAACUUGCUGAAGAAGCUCCCGGCGGCCCCCUGCUGUCUGCGGCCUUUGUUUGAGGGAGAGGCUGGGGUCACCCGGUUGGGCCGCAUUUCCGGGGCCGUCACCUGUCGGGCUGCCAGGCCGCGCGUACCUUGUCCCAUCGGGGGCUCUGCUCUGCCCCCUGCGCUGAUGACGCGGGUGGAAGGGAGGUAUCAGGGGCACUCUGGGGAGCUGUACCUGGCGGGCACCCCCCAGCUGCUCUCCGUGGGGUACGACACCGAGACCUGGUUGGGCUGCAAGGAGACCGACUGGGAUUCCCGGGCUGGUGGCCGGGGAGACGAAGGCGGGGGGUGAGAGGCAGGAACCCAGGAGGCCCCAGGCCCAGCGCUGUGGGGCUGCUGUUGUCGUUCUGCGUGGAGGUCUGGCCAAACUGGCUUUUGCCCCGAGUGAGGAAUUCCUGCUCUUUUUUGGUUUUGGCUCUGUCUCUUGAUCCCGCUUAGGAUCUUUGUGGCUCCUCUGAGUCUUCUUAGAGAGGCCGUGAAAGAUGGGAAAGGCAGGUUGCUGAAACGCUGCUGCUCGGGGCUGGCAGAGACCCUGGUAUAGGGAAGGCGCACCACUGUGGGUCAGAUCAGCUGACAGUGGGGGUUUUAGGUGAUGGGGUAACCUUACAGUUCGGAUCUCUUAGAACCCAGAAGCAGGUAGGCGAUCGCUGCUUCAUCACACUUCACAGGGAGUCCUGGAUCUUUCCUGUCCGUAACCCAUGGACGCCAUGAUUCAGUAUGGCGGAGGUCCGGGGCUUAAGUUCCUGUUCAUGCUUCCUAAUCAUUCAUGGAUCCAUCACAAUGUGCUCUGAAGGGCCUCUCUUGCUGGGAUUGAGAAGGAUACAUUUUUUGAGCAGGUUUUUAUACUCAAUGGACAUGUAGAAGGGAAUAUAUUCUACUCAGUUCCCCUCCUGCAGCUCCUUGAAAUUCUGUCCAUCAAAAGCAGGGAUCUGCUGACCAGAGGUGACUGCCACAGAAGGUAUCCAGUUUGUAAAAGCUGAAUUUGUUGCUGAAGCCAGAAUUUGCAAUCUUGAUGUUUGUGUUAACAUCCAAGAGCGUGUUUUCUGCCUUUAAAUCUCUGUGGACAAUACGUUUCUGGUGACAGCUUGCACAGCAGACACUUUUGGUAGAAUUUGCUUCAGUCCUUUUUUUUUCUUUCCUGCUGCCAUGAGCAGGUAUUCACAAACUUCUCCUCCUGGCUAGUGUGCUUCAUGACAAAGCAAAGAGAUUCCUCAAUAUCGAUCACAGCAAAUGUUUCACUAUGUUGGGGUGAUCCGAGCCUUCAUGGUUCCUACUUUGUGGAUGGUGUCUGGAGGAGAUCUGCUGAGUCUCAUCAAUGAACUUCACAGCUGCUGCUUUCCCAGUUAAGAGGUCCCAGGCCAACCUUACCUUAGCCAGGUUGCCCUUGACGAUGGUCUCAAGGAUCCUAGCUGCCAGUAAGGGUCCCUUCUCAGCAGAGAUGGCUGAGAGGCCCUGUGGCAUGUGAGACUUACUGCUGGGCUUGGAGUCAAGGUGUCCCAGGUCAGCUUAAUUUCGGGAAAAACUGGUAAGACGCUUGGUUCAAAUCACUUGAAAAGAAAAUCACUUGCAUAGUUCACCUGAAGAAUGGAUCUCUAUAAUGGAAUUAAAGCACAAUGCUGGACAAAAAGUAAGAAAAAGCAACAAACUGAAAGGAAAAAUUGAGUAAAAAGAAUAAAGAACUAGAACUGGCAACCUCAGCCAAGCCAGGGAAUUACAUACAUCUUGGAAUUCCAAAGCAAUGCUUCCUUAUGAGGGCAUAGGAAGAAAUAAAUCUAAUAACAAGGCUGGGAUUAAUUCACGUGGUUUUCUCACAUUUUGGUCUCAAGAACUUUUUACUCUAAAACUAAUUAUUGAGGACCCCAAAGAGCUUUUUAUGUGGGUUAUAGUUAUCAGUAUUUACUUUAUUGGAAAUUAAAACCUGUAGGAUGUUUCAGUGGUCUUUUCUAGUUUGAAGGGUUUAAUAAUUUUUGGCUUUUAAAGAGCCCAUAAUCAAUUAAAAUAUUUUAUUUUCCUUUAAAUUGUAAAUGAUUGGUGUCAUAAUGAUGCUACAACUUAACUGGCAUUACAAUACUAUACAAAUACGUUCUAUUGUAUAAGUCACAAUAAGGUACAUUAUUAACUCUAUAACAUUUAGGGGAAGAUAGCUGUUAUCAUAUUAUUUAAAGUUUUGCCUAGUUUCUUUGUAGUAGACUUAUCUUUUCCAGGAGCCAGAGAACCCGCUAUAUCAGUUUCAGUAUCUUUAAAUGUAGAGAUUGCAGCUGUGUGUUGAGAAAGCACGUUUCACUUAGCAUGGGAUGGGGACUUCGAGGUACUGGAUAUGUCACUGGCACCUCAGGGGAGGAAACCAAGAUGCCCCUAUAUGAUUUUAAACAUGGUUUAUUAAAGCGUGAUACAGAAAAGUGCACAAAUUGUCCACCUACAGCUUGGUGACUGUUCACAAAUUGAACUCAUCUAACUAGCCUCCAGAAUAAGAAACAGGCCUUUACACACCCCCACCAGCCUCCCAAUCCCCUUUUCAGUCACCUUCUCUGCAGUGAUAACCACUAUUCUAUAUUCUGACAGCAUAGUUUCACUUGUUUUUUAACUUCACAUAAAUGGGAUCAGACAGUAUUGAAUCCUUUGUGUCUGCUUCCUUCACUCAAUAUUUUCCUGAGAUUUUUCUAUAUUGUUUAUUCUAAAUGCCCAUUGUACGACUGUAACACAAUUUGUUUAUCCAUUUUACUGUUCUUGGGCAUUUGGGUAGUUCUCACUGUGGAUGCUAAGAAGAGUGUUGCUAUAAACAUUCAGGUCUUUUGGUAAGCAUAUACCUGGCUUUCUGUUGGCUAUUUAUACCUAGAAAUAGAGUUGCUGGCUUAUAAGGUAUGCAUAUUUUUAGUUUUAGUAGACAUUGCAGUUUGUACCAAUUCACCCACCCACCAAUGUGAAUAUCUAAUAUUGCCUGCCUGUCUGUACGUGUGUACUGGUAUAGCAUUGUGGUUUUAAUUUGCAUUUUCCAGUGCCUAAUGAAAUAAAGCACCUUUUAAUAUGCUUAUUGGACAUA